GAUUAAGCCUCCCAGAUGCAGAGUGGAAAUGGGUGGAUGGGAGUGAAAUUUAAAGAGUCUGGUGAUAGAAAUCGUUCCCAUGCCACCCAUUUCUAUUCUUUCUGGGGGUUUCUCCCUUUU
rnacentral:pre_miRNA from 1 species